CUUCAUCUCAACAAUUUAGCAAUUAUCUGGCCAUUUUUACGUUGAGUUGAGCAACUGCUUCUCCAUUCUCUAUCUGUUGAUACUACUUUCGCGAAAGGACGCUUUAUUAACUGUGUUGUGUGUACGUGUUUUAUUGAAAAUGACGAGUUUGCAAUGCAUCAAUUGCUAUGUUCGCUUGUCCCGAAGAAGAAGACACGCUUUAUCCAAUGACGGUGAAGAUAUCGUCAACACUAUUCGUCUGUGGACAUAUCUUAGAGAUGUAAGUAGUUUCCACAUAACAUUGUGUGUACGAAUGGGCCAUAGUUACGAACUUCAAUAACUUUUACGUGUGAUAUCACACUAAAUAAACACAUAAGUAAUCGGUAACAUGUAUUAUUUACUUGCCUUGGUUUGCAUAACACUGUUAUAAUUUAUUAGUACCUAUUAUUUUGUUUAAUGGUGAGCCAUACUCAAAAUCAUUUAAUUAUUUCUAGAUUACACCAGAUGACCAUGUUUACCAUGAAUGCUGGCAGCUAGCUAGUCAUUCAUGUUCUUCUGAUAAUAUGCCGAGAAGACACAUAGGCCAUCAGUGUUUGUGUUGUAUGUGGACAAUCCAUACUAAGAAUCAGGCAAUGCAGAAUUUUGAUUGAAGAAGAACAAAGAACGGCUUACACAAUGACUACUUGGAUCUAACCACAACAGCUUCAUCCUGAAGAUAAAGCUUGUGUGCGGUGUUGGUUAAGAGUGAGAACUAAGGAUACUUCACUAAAUGAAGAUAUUCAAUCCGUUGAACCUAAUCAGCAGGAAAGUGAUAAUUCUGAACUGAUGUGUGCUGCAUGUGGUCAAAGUGUUACUCCCAACAACACUGCUUGUUUGUUGGAGCACCAGCAGGUAUAUAAUAAUAUGAAAUAAUAUAUUUAUAGUAAUUAGCUUCUAAAAACGCAAUGCAAAGAGCAAUUACAAUUUUAUGUUGCUAAAUGUAAGACACUAAUGAUGUUGGCUCUACUAACAACAAAAGGAUACUGGUCUUUCCAUUCUCUACUCCAGUGAACAAUAAAUAUAUUCAGUAUUUUUGGAAAGGUCUUCGGUAAAAACCAAUCAUUGUGUGUCGAGAUUUAUUCUCUAGCCUGGUCAUGUUUUGCGCAAUUUAUAUCUAUCAUAUGUAAAUGCUUAAUUUUGAAUUACAUGAAUUAUUUAUAUUAUUUAUUUACAGACACCUUCGAUGAAUGAAGUUUGUGAAGUUUGCUGGGGCCAAGUAUGCAAUUUGAGCUUCUAUGUUCCAGAUGGUCUAUGUUGCUUCAAGUUAAAAUAAAGCCUCUUCUCCUAGAACUUAUUUUGUUUUCAUAGUUGCAGAAACAAAUAUAAAUAGCCGGGACACAAUCAAAAGUGAUUGCUGUAAUUGUAUUGUAGGUUUAAGAACAGUGGGAUGCUGCUCACAUAUUAUGAGCAUUCUUUGGUAUUUGAGUUAUGCUUGCUAUGAGGGUAUGACCCGACCUGCCCCUUUCUUGGAUGAAGUAAUAUUAAGAAACAAUCAAGUAAUUAUAAGAAAAUAAAGUAAAUGUAUUCCUACAAAAACUAAGUUGCUUUAUUUACCUACACUCAAAACUUCGUCAGCACUUAAUCAUUAUCAAACUAUUGUAGACUGCUGCUGGACAUAGGUCACUCCUUAAGCACCCUACUGAAUGGGUAAAUUCUCAUGUCAAUUUAUCAACUUCCUACAUUCUUUUUCACUUAAACAAUGUUUAUGUGCUUAGUGCUUACCUAUACGUGAUAAAGAACAAAGAGUAAUGUUGGGACCACCUCUCAAUAGUAAUGAGACACCCUUAUAUAGAUAAAUAUUCUCAAACUGAAUAAACUUACUAAAGUACUACAAUUAAGGUCAAAAGUCGGGUUUCGGAGUUAUACUAGGUAAGUAUCUUUUUUAUGCAAUAAGUUGGUAAACGAGCAGACGGAUCAUCUGAUGGUAAGCAAUCGCCGCCGCCCAUGUACACCUGAGGCGUUAGAAGUGCGUUGCCGGCCUUUUGGGGGUUCGGAAUUUAAGGGUUGUUAGGGAAGGGGUAAUUGCGCCUCCGGUAACCUCACUCACUCAACGAAAUACAACGCCAAUGCGAAACAAACUCUAGACAAUGAUGAUAGUAGCUUACUUUAUUAUAAGA